UGACCAAGUUUACGUCUUCCCCCAUUUAUUGCCCUAUUUGUGAGGUCACCCUUCGUCCCGACACACUGGCUACACAUUACGAUCAGGAGGUGGCCAGGAUACAAGCCCCAAUCCUUCCCCCUCGCCAAAGGAAGAGGAGCAGCACACAAGUGGGUGGGGCUCCUAGCAAGAGAAAAAGUGAGCAGCCUCUCUCAGAGAAAGUUCAAAUGGCACUGGACUCUGUUCGAAGGAAACGUUUCCUGUUUGAGCGUCCCCCUGACCAGCCAGGACCCUCCCACCAGACCACCACCACGAGCACAUGCUCUGUGUGUGGUGCUCAAUUAUCAACCGAUGAAGAGACAGCCUCGUUUCACGUGGCCAACUGUCUUGCAGAGAGUGGAGAGACUAAUGACGACAGCGAGGAUGGAAGCUAUGAAGAGUAUACUUGGUGCAAUGUAACUCGAGUGAGGGCCACCUCUCUACUCAGCCCUCAGGCUAGAGCAAACAUUUUUAAUGGGACAGUGAUGAGCAGUGCAGGGGACACUAGUAUGGACAUUGAGGUGGAUGUGGAGGAGGAUGAUACAGCAACGUACGGUCCCGCGCAAUUUAGUGAGACCCAUGUACAAAAUUCUAUUUUGGACCAUUCCACUGGUGGUGAAGAUAACGAAGUUGUAAAGUCAAAUUCUGGUACCUCUACUUCAGUGCAAUGUCUAAUCUGCAUGGGUGGCUACACUGAACCUCUUGUCUCUGUGCUGUGCUGGCACGUCUACUGUGAGAAGUGCUGGUUGCAAGCACUGAAAGCUCAAAAGCUCUGUCCCAAGUGCAAGAGGAUCACAUGUGCUGGCGAUCUCCGACGAAUAUUUCUAUGAACACAUGCAUCGCUUAGAAUGAGGUGCAGUUGAAAAUUAAGAUGCUGGACAGAGACCUGAGUGGGCAGGAUGAUUUGGUUGAUGUCUUCCUCAUCAACAUCACUGCUUUGGUGGGAGUGCUCUUACCUCCUCAGACAUACAGAGGAGUCUACUUUGUUUUACAAGAAGUUCCCGUACCAUCCGACCAACACCACCUUUGACCCCCAGCUAUCGCUGAGCAGUGAGGACAUUACCUUCUUCAAGGAGAAUGGUACAAACUAGCCACCAAUCCAUUAUUAUAAGACCUAACUGCAACUCUCCACUCAAUUCAUACUGCACUGGGAAUGAGUGAAUGGGAUCUGUGAAUGUGAUCCAGGCUUUGCAGGUCCAAGUUGUGAUCCGGUUGGUCAAAUUGAUCGUGAACUCGAUAAUAUAAAGCAACGAGGAGCCUCUUAUACGUCGGAGGGAUUGGACAGUGUGUGGGUCGUGGUGUUGAGGGUGACUACACUCAAGUGGCCAUAGGACCCGUGUAUACCUCCUUGGAGACCAAAGAAGAGAGGGAAAAGAGAGAGGCUGGCCAUGGACUCUAUAUAUAUAUAUAUAUAUAAUUAUGGUAUUCAUGCACUCCUGAU